CAGUCGCCGCGGUAAUACGGAGGGUGCAAGCGUUAAUCGGGAUUACUGGGCGUAAAGCGCACGCAGGCGGUUUGUUAAGUCAGAUGUGAAAUCCCCGAGCUUAACUUGGGAACUGCAUUUGAAACUGGCAAGCUAGAGUCUUGUAGAGGGGGGUAGAAUUCCAGGUGUAGCGGUGAAAUGCGUAGAGAUCUGGAGGAAUACCGGUGGCGAAGGCGGCCCCCUGGACAAAGACUGACGCUCAGGUGCGAAAGCGUGGGGAGCAAACAGGAUUAGAUACCCCUGUAGUCCCUGUCUCUUAUAC
rnacentral:rRNA from 1 species